GUGCUCGCUUCGGCAGCACGUACACUAAAAUUGGAACAAUAUAGAGAAGAUUAGCAUGGCCCCCGCGCAAGGAAGACGCACAAAUUCGUGAAGCAUUCCAUAUUUUU
ensembl:snRNA U6 U6 spliceosomal RNA